rnacentral:misc_RNA from 1 species
AACCUAGCACACCUGCGGUGUGUACCUGCGGAGGGAUCAUUACCGAGUUUACAACUCCCAAACCCCUGUGAACAUACCUAUACGUUGCCUCGGCGGAUCAGCCCGCGCCCUGUAAAAAGGGACGGCCCGCCCGAGGACCCCUAAACUCUGUUUUUAGUGGAACUUCUGAGUAAAACAAACAAAUAAAUCAAAACUUUUAACAACGGAUCU